rnacentral:lncRNA from 1 species
GAGUAAAAGAAAAUGGGUUAGAUCAGCUGUUCUUGUACAGUACAGAAAUAGUUUUGUUUACAAGAAGCACAGCUAGCUGGUGGACACUGGGAGGCGACCGGAGGCGGCCCCCAAAUUGAAAUUACCCUGUACAUACACUGCAAUUGACGAAGCAGUUCUUCAACUCUUAGAUCCAGCUUUUAUACAUGGGAUUCCAGCGAUUUUGGAAAGUGAGGAACUUAUUGACGAAGAAGAAAGAGCACAAACCCCAGGACCCUCAGGAGCUAGGUUUACGGCUAUUGAUUCCAGCGAGGAAUCUAUGUUUAGGACCGUUAAAGAAAAAGAGGAUUCUCUAACUAUCUUGCUGACUGAGGAUAUACACACUUGUUAACUAAUAACAUGUGUUGCAGUGCUACUACGGAUAAUGUUUACCCAGGUUUUGGGUAAAAGUUCAAACCACAAUCAAAUGUAUAGCUUUGAAAACAGACUCAUGUACUUAUUUUUAUUUUUUAAAGGUUCCUUUAUUUUGUAAUACGUAGUUAAUUUCCAGUUCAACCUGUUUUAUUGAUUAAUUUGUAUUUUUUUAAUGUAUGAUUCAAGUAGGUUGAAACAGAAAUAAUGGUGCAAAUUCACCUAACAGCCUACUGUAAUCACUGCUAUUUAGCACACAUUAUUCUCCAAAGAGCAAGUUGUUGCAUUGGUUCUUUCAUAAGGAUGUGCUGUCUCAUGCUAAAUUGUAUAGCUUAACAAGCCAAGUUUGCUAUUUGUUUUCUUUAUUACUUAUAGUAGUACAGUAUUUGGUUAUAAGUUUACUUUAAUAUACGGGUAUUGAUGCAGGUACAUUCUAGUCAUGAGAGUUCCUUCAGUAAUUCUAGACAUAUGAAAAUUAUACUGUAUUCCAUUUUUAAAUCUUAAAAAUGGCAACAAUUAACAGUAGUUGUAUUAAUUUUUCACAACGAUGUGGUGACCCACGUCAAAUUGUGUAGUUUAAGAAGCAAACAGUGGCAAUAUUUUUUUAUUGUUUCAAUUUCUCAAAUAUGUUUUAUAUGAUUUUUGUUUUCACAAACUUUAGUGCCUUUGGUAUUUAGUAGUAUUAAAAGUAUACUGUAUUGGAAUCAAAUUUGCUCAAGGAUAUAGUACAUAUUUUAUUUUCCUAUAUAAAAUGUUUAUCUUAUGAAGGUAAAAGAAAGCCAUUUAUUUUCUGUAUUUUCUAUAAAGAAGUUUAUUUUAUUAGGUACAGUAUAUUGAAAAUAAAAGUUAAUUCAAUGUAUGCUUUAUUAGCAUUACCUCUAUACUGCAAUAAAAAAUACUUAUUAAACAGUAGUGUUUUUAUGUUGAUACUAACUUAUUCAAAGUUUUAUCAUUAGGCCUAGAAUAGAAGGGUUAUGCAUGAGAAAAAAAAAUUACGGCCUUAAGGUUUUGCCUGGCAUUAGGGUUAAAAUACUUAAAAAUGCACAGCGUGUUAAAAUCUCUGUACUCAUUGAAAAAUGAAUAAAAUUGUUCAGUAUGAAAGUAAA